AAUGUGGCCCAUAUUUUAUACAAGCCACAGCUACUAAAUUAUGAUUUAAACUUAAUAGUAUUGUAGCCUAUAAUAGAGCUCUAGAUAAGAGCU
rnacentral:rRNA from 1 species